UUGCUAGAUUGCGGGAACACAUCUGUAAGGAGAGAGAGAGAGAGAUUGGAAAGGAACCGAAUUAAUCAUGUAUUCAACCAUCCGUAGCAUCGACAACAGUAACCGGAUAUCCCCAAAAAAGCUGUUCCCCAUUUGCUGUUUGGCGAAGAACAUGCAAAUAAUCUGUUUUUGUUUGCUAGGCCCGAAAAUCGCUCGGUACAAUAUUGCUUUCAGUUUUGUAAAAGCUAUACGAAAACAAAAAGAUGUAGGCACACUACACGACAUACACGACCUCCGGCCAAGAUCAAAACAAACCGCCAACCGAUCGAAUGUCAAAGCGAUAUUUGCACUGGCCGUAAUCAAUAGGGAUUGGCACACAACGUGCCGACGUAACCGAUGCUUCCCACACGCGAACAAUUUAGUAAAAUAUGGUCGUUGAUCAACUGGUGGCCGAGCGAUUGUCCGAACGACAGCGAUGCUGCCGCAUCCGCCAUCACAACCCGUGUGCAAUUCCCAGGACCUCCCAGCAAGGGUUUCCAGAAUGCAAAUUCAUUGUCUCCAUGGAUACGACGACGGCGGUGGUCGAACGGCAGCACUGAUCGUGGGUAAACGGUUGACAAACGGUGUUGCCACCGUGCGAGAAGUAGUAUCACAGGCAAGUUUUGUUGAUGCAUGAUCGAUACGUGCCAUUCUUAGCUGCUGUUUUGCUGACUUCCAUUAAGUUAUGAGUCGAAGAUCACUCUACUUACAUGAUGACAGUGGAAUGCUGUAUGUGCCACACACAUACGCACACACACUCUGCUGUCUUACUCUCGCCUGUGCUCCAGCCCUUUCUGGGUGACUGCCCACAUCUCAUCCUCGCCUUGCCGCUCAGCCAAAGACGGAUGUGCGCCAAGCUGUCUGACAGUGCACCCGAAGAAGUAUAUCGGUGUGGCGGCGAUCGCUCGCGCCAAAGUGUUGCUGCCCGCUGCCGCUGGUGAUCCGAGGGCAAUUAAUUUGCCUCACCGCCUCGGGAUCGCGAUUGCGCUAAAUGAAAAUAAAUCACGCAUGCAGCGGCAAAAGGAGGCCAGCCGCUUCUACACUGGCGUGGUGGCUGUGGCGCACCCGACGCCAGCCUACCGCACUUUGGCAGCUGACAUCAAUUGGCGCGUGGUAGCAGAUUAAAACAACACGCUCGAUUGUGCACGAGUUUAGAAUGUGUUAAAAGAGUGGACGUUCGUUAAAAAACGUUGAAACGCAUUUCCGUUUAAAAACAAACAUGUAAUAAUAAUUAAAAACCGUUAAGGUCAUUACGCCAAAAAUUAACAUCACGAAUUGUAAUGCAGAUACUCCUGUAAGUAAAAUAAUGGUUACAAAAAAAAUUAUGCAAUUUCUCACAAA